GUUCACCCCACUCCUGAUCUUGUUGGCUGCUCAGGGGCUGACAGCCCAGAUGUGCAGCUGUGAUGAGCAGAAACAGGGAGGAAUGGAGCCCCCAGCCAUUGUCAUCACUUCCUCAAGCUGUCUAAAUUCUGCCCAGCAGUCUGUGAAAAUGUUGUGCUGAUGACAUAUUAAGUCAUGUAUCCGUUAAAAGAAUAUCUGGAAACCUCCAAAAGGAAGCCAAGCAUAGACUAUUUGGAAGAACUUGAAGGAGCGAGAGCUGACCCCAUCUUUGUACACUGGCAGCACAAGGACAACAAUCAACACGGAAGACUUCUGUGACCAAAUGUGUGCACGUUUCUCUCCAUACACCAAGCAAGCAAUCUAUUCUGCAGCAGACACCAACUGGAAGUCCUCCAAUUCAAUUCAAUUCUGACACUGUCUACCUGGAAAUGGCCUCAGCAACCACAGGUUGAGAGCUCAGUCCCACAAGAACACCUCCUCCUUCCAACCAGUUGAAACUCCACACCUCCAGAACUUCUCACUGACUGGCUUCGAGUUGAGAAAAACAUCAAAAUGUUGUACAAAUUUGUAAGGAUUUGAUAAUAAAUUUUGGCAGAUGUCCAAUAUCAAGAUCACCAACCACUUCAUUAAUAAUUGUUGUUAAGUCAUGGAACUUGUCUGCAGAAAUUGUAUUCUUCCAAGCUUCUAACUGAGGAUUUUGCCCUUCAACCUUAUCUGCUGUGAAAAGACAUGUUUUUUUUUGCAAAGCAAUAUUAAGAUAAUUGAAAUAUCCAAAAUACUAGACAAAUGAGAAAGAUUCGUUGUCCAAUUUCAUCUUAAAGUCAAUAUCAAAUUGGUUGCUUACCUUGGAAACACUGAGAUUGUUCUAUAGUUCAACAGUUCUCCACCAAACUUUUACCCUCAAUAAAGAUGUACUUCCACAUACAUU
rnacentral:lncRNA from 1 species